rnacentral:rRNA from 1 species
AGUGAACGCUGGCGGUAGGCCUAACACAUGCAAGUCGAACGGCAGCACAGGAGAGCUUGCUCUCUGGGUGGCGAGUGGCGGACGGGUGAGGAAUACAUCGGAAUCUACUCUGUCGUGGGGGAUAACGUAGGGAAACUUACGCUAAUACCGCAUACGACCUACGGGUGAAAGCAGGGGAUCUUCGGACCUUGCGCGAUUGAAUGAGCCGAUGUCGGAUUAGCUAGUUGGCGGGGUAAAGGCCCACCAAGGCGACGAUCCGUAGCUGGUCUGAGAGGAUGAUCAGCCUCACUGGAACUGAGACACGGUCCAGACUCUUACGGGAGGCAGCAGUGGGGAAUAUUGGACAAUGGGCGCAAGCCUGAUCCAGCCAUACCGCGUGGGUGAAGAAGGCCUUCGGGUUGUAAAGCCCUUUUGUUGGGAAAGAAAUCCAGCUGGCUAAUACCCGGUUGGGAUGACGGUACCCAAAGAAUAAGCACCGGCUAACUUCGUGCCAGCCGCCGCCGUAA